rnacentral:rRNA from 1 species
AGUAGGGAAUCUUCCACAAUGGGCGAAAGCCUGAUGGAGCAACGCCGCGUGAGUGAAGAAGGAUUUCGGUUCGUAAAACUCUGUUGUAAGGGAAGAACAAGUACAGUAGUAACUGGCUGUACCUUGACGGUACCUUAUUAGAAAGCCACGGCUAACUACGUGCCAGCAGCCGCGGUAAUACGUAGGUGGCAAGCGUUGUCCGGAAUUAUUGGGCGUAAAGCGCGCGCAGGCGGUCCUUUAAGUCUGAUGUGAAAGCCCACGGCUCAACCGUGGAGGGUCAUUGGAAACUGGGGGACUUGAGUGCAGAAGAGGAAAGUGGAAUUCCAAGUGUAGCGGUGAAAUGCGUAGAGAUUUGGAGGAACACCAGUGGCGAAGGCGACUUUCUGGUCUGUAACUGACGCUGAGGCGCGAAAGCGUGGGGAGCAAA